GACGUAGGGCGCGAGCGUUGUCCGGAUUUAUUGGGCGUAAAGAGCUCGUAGGCGGCUUGUCGCGUCGUCCGUGAAAACUUGGGGCUCAACCCCAAGCUUGCGGUCGAUACGGGCUAGCUAGAGUGUGGUAGGGGAGAUCGGAAUUCCUGGUGUAGCGGUGAAAUGCGCAGAUAUCAGGAGGAACACCGGUGGCGAAGGCGGAUCUCUGGGCCAUUACUGACGCUGAGGAGCGAAAGCGUGGGGAGCGAACAGG
rnacentral:rRNA from 1 species